UUUAGGUUCCUAUAAGAUAGAGUAAUCUAUAAAUAACUAAGUAUCUAAUUACUUU
rnacentral:tRNA from 1 species